CCUACGGGGGGCAGCAGUGAGGAAUAUUGGUCAAUGGGAGGAAUCCUGAACCAGCCAUGCCGCGUGCAGGACGACGGCUCUACGAGUUGUAAACUGCUUUUGUACCGGGGUAAAAUGCCUUACGAGUAGGGUUUUGAAAGUACGGUACGAAUAAGGAUCGGCUAACUACGUGCCAGCAGCCGCGGUAAUACGUAGGGGGCAAGCGUUAUCCGGAUUUACUGGGUGUAAAGGGAGCGUAGACGGCCAGACAAGUCUGAAGUGAAAAUCCAGCGCUUAACGUUGGAAGUGCUUUGGAAACUGCCGGG
rnacentral:rRNA from 1 species